UACAGAGGUCUCAAGCGUUGUUCGGAUUCAUUGGGCGUAAAGGGUGCGUAGGCGGCGCGACAAGUCACUUGUGAAAUCUCUGAGCUUAACUCAGAACGGCCAAGUGAAACUGUUGUGCUAGAGUGCAGAAGGGGCAAUCGGAAUUCUUGGUGUAGCGGUGAAAUGCGUAGAUAUCAAGAGGAACACCUGAGGUGAAGACGGGUUGCUGGGCUGACACUGACGCUGAAGCGCGAAAGCCAGGGGAGCAAACGGG
rnacentral:rRNA from 1 species